rfam:Oryza glumipatula chromosome 9, whole genome shotgun sequence.
AAAAAGAUAAAUUAUGGGUUUCCGUGUCUAAGUUUGACUGUCCGUUUUAUUUGAUAUAUGAAAAAAAAUAAAAAUAUAAUUCACGUAUAAUGUAUUAAUCAUGUUUUAUCAUCUAACAAUAAUAAAAAUACUAAUUAUAAAAAAAAUUUAUAUAAGACGGACAGUCAAACGUUGGACAAAGAAAUUAGUGUUUGUCUUUUUU